GAGGCAAGCCAGUAAAGAACAUCCCUCCAUGGCCUCUGCAUCAGCUCCUGCUCCCUGGCCUGCUUGAGUUCCAGUCCUGACUUCCUUUGGUGAUGAACAGCAGUAUGGAAGUGUAAGCCGAAUAAACCCUUUCCUCCCCAACUUGCUUCUUGGCCAUGAUCUUUGUGCAGGAAUAGAAACCCUGACUAAGACAAAUUGGUACCAGCAUAGUGGGGUAUUCCUGAGACAACCUGACCAUGUUUUGGGGAGGACUGUGGAAGGACUUUGGAACUUUGGUCUUGAAGAUCCAUUCAUUGUUAAGAGCUCUGUGGGAUGUUGUGUAGGAGCUUGGAAGAUAAUGUUGAUAACAGUGCAGAAGAUGGAGGCCUGGCUUGUGAAAUUUCAGAGGGAAAAUUAAAGACUCUUUUCAGGGCCAUUGCUGUUUUGAUUGUGAAGAUUCUGUAGUUCUGGUUAGCUGGGGCUGAAGAAUCAGCUGUGAUUAACAAGAUACCAGAACUACCAAAGCAAAAACUGCAUUACUGGAACUAUUGAUGCUGGUUAGCUGGAGCUAAGAAAUUAGCGGUGAUUAAGAAGAGACCAGCAUCAUUGAGGUGAAAUCUUCUGGGAAGUGUUUUCUGAGAGCACAGUGGCUGUGUUCCAGAUAUAGCCAAAGUUGUACCUUGUGCUGUGGCUGGACUUGGUAAUGUGUAAGGGUCACGCAGGUGGUACUGGUUUUGAAGGCAUGAAGGAGUUGAGCAGAGCAGCUGAGGCUUGGCACUGUGAGAGGC
rnacentral:lncRNA from 1 species